ACUGGCACUAGAGGCAUUACAUGUGUGACUGCUAUGUCACAUGUGUAUUGGUAGGUGGCAGAGAGGGGACAGGCUUUUUCUAUGCUCAGGGUUCUGAUCUACCAACAUCUGAAUGAUUCCCUGACCUU